rnacentral:misc_RNA from 1 species
UCCCCCGUGAGGGGGCAGUCUCGCCUGACAUAUAAAACAGGCAACGAGGGUUACAUUCGUUACCCCACUGAAGGGAACAACUCAAGCCACGAAUUGACGACGACCAUGCAUCACCUGCCCAGCCGUCUUGCGAGGCUCCUCGUUUCUGAGGAGUUUCGUCUGGGUUUCAAACCCUGGUGAGGUUCUUCGUUUAUCAUCGAAUUGAGCCGCAUCAUCCACCGCUUGUGCAAGUCCCCGUCUAUUCCUUUGAGUUUUAAUCUUGCGAUCGUACUACCCAGGCGCAUCACUUAACGCGUUAGCUUCGCCUCAAAGAGGGUCGAUACUCCUUAAAGCCAGUGAUGAUCGUUUAGGGCGUGGACUA